rnacentral:lncRNA from 1 species
AGACAACACCCGCCCGCGGCCGGGCCAGGCGCCGAGCAGGCAGCUGCGGCCCUCGGGAAGCCCGGAGAGGGGACCCACUCCGGCGCCCUGCCCGCGUCCCCCUUUGUGGGUGACAGACUGCACGGGAGGACACCGGGGCAGCUCCCAUGCCCACGAGGGUGCCCUCCCUCGGGAACUAGGGAAGGCAGAAGAGCCCGCUGACCACCAGAAAAAACACGGGGACGGCGGGGACAAGGGCUGACCCGUCUCCACCGAGACUGAACCUCGAGUUCUAAGGUGGGACUGCCAAGAUGAAUAGACAUAAUCCUCGAUCUAACCACUUCACAGUUUAUCAUCGGAGUCAAGUUUGCAGAUAAACAAUUGCCAUGCAACUUUCAAGAAAAUGGUGCCUGAGAUGAGCAAGGUCAGCAGACAAGAAGUGAGGUCAAUGUCAGGUUUCCAUGCCAGCAGCGGGAACUCUGGAUACAGUGGAGAGUCACAGCUGGUCAAACCCUGAACCGCUUGCUCCUUGAAAUGGCCAGAGAGGCCCAUCCCAGAGCCAUCUCAUCAUCUCUCCUCAGACAGGAAACCGAGAAGGAAAACAAUCAGCUCUGUUCUCUCUGGGCCGAGGGAGUGAGCUGUAAUGAGGGAGCACAGGAACGCAUUGGGCGCCCUCAGACCUGAACACACAGGUUAGCACCACCUGCCUGGCUGACCUGGCUCACAGGUGCGCGGUUGCCAGUUGAGAAUAACUCAUCCAGGGUUGUUGAAUGGUGGAGGAUCUUCCAAAAUCAGCAGCUAGGAGGUCGAGAACCCUUCAUGCCAUAC